rnacentral:lncRNA from 1 species
AACAAGACUUUGUAGUAAUCUCUCCAGAUUUCUGGCUGCAGCAUCCCCAGUGAAAGGUGGGGAGGGACACAUGAUGAAAGACCCCAGGGGAUCAGAAGGAAAAGAAAAGGUGAGGAGAGUUGGCCAAUCCUGGUCAGGGUAGUGUUUGCAUGGCAGUCUGCAUACCUCAUGACACUGGCUUCAUUUUCCAGCGAAAACGGUAUCUUUUGAAGAACAGUAGAGAGUCCUUCUUGAGCAACCAGUCACGUAUUCCUGGGGAAAAAGAAAAGAGUUGAAGACAUGGUGGCACUGGACAGGUAGGACAACAAAUGAACAACCUGAGGAGAAAAAAGCCAGUUACCUGUAGAUUUGAAUUUAAGGACGAGAAGGAUCCAGGACACUCAUGGAAUGUGUUGUGGAUGAAGGAAAGAGGAAUCCCAAAGGGGAAAAAGAAGGCAGUAGGUGGUAGCAGAGGCCAGCCUUAGGACCAGCCACGCAAGUUAUGAGGGUGUCCCUUGUUACUAGUGAUUCUACCUGAAGAUGUUUCAGUCCGCCACCAUCAUGGUUUUCAUGUCCUGCCCGCCCUGGGUUUCUGGACUGUGUGGGCUGAGGUGAGCUGGGGGACUGGAGGGGGAAUGAGAGUACGACUUUUCAGUGCACAACUCAGGUCAUGAUCCCAGGGGCAUGGAAUUGAGCCGUGCAUGGAGCUGCGCAUCAAGCCCUUCAUCGGGCUCCUUGCUGAGAGUAGAGCCUGCUUGCGAUUCGUUCUCUUUCUCCCUCUGCCCCUCUCCCCCGCUCUCUGUCUCUCUCUUGAAUACAUAAAUUAAUUUUUUAAAAAGGCAUUUUUUGGGGGCACCUGGGUGGCUCAGUCGGUUGAACGUCCGACUUCCGCCCAGGUCAUGAUCUCACAUUUCAUGAGUUCCAGCCCCGCGUCGGGCUCUGUGCUGACAGCUCAGAGCCUGGAGCCUGCUUCGGAUUCUGUGUCUCCCUCUCUCUCUGCCCCUCCCCCACUCUCACUUCGUCUCACUCUCUCAAAAAUAAAUAAAUGUAAAAAAAAAAAUGUAAAAAAAAAAAGGCAUUUUUCAAUUCCCAAAGCUCUAGUUCAAAAUUUUAAAUAUUUUCCUUUUCUUCAACAAGUUGUUGACACAGGACACACUGAGUAGAUAAAACUAAAUGAUUUUACAGCUGGCUUUAAAAAGACAAGCUCUUUUGCUAACUAGCCUUACUUCUUUAAACAUGCUUUAAAAAAAAAAGUGCAAAUCCUCUGACCUAACUUGUAAAACAUUUAAUAUUUUGGAUAUGCAGCUUUAAUGACCAUCUAAAAGUCAGGCCGGCUGGACAAUGGGGAGCUGCUGGAGUAUUAUUCAUCCUUCACAAAGCCAUGAGGUGGCUCUUUCUCCUGGGUCAAGAGGUCAAGCUCCACAGCAUUAAUUUCGCUGAGUUUCUUUGUUAUAAAGAACAAACAAGGUCAUUUAUUUUCAUUUUCUUGUUUCUAAUUGCGUGCAUGUACUCCCAAGGAUGAACUCCAUAAACAGGUGGUGGGAAUGCUGGGGAGAAAGCUCGAAACUGUUCCAGAAAAGAGGGCAUGUCCCACUCUGGCGAAACAGUUUGAUGAGUUAGAGAUUUCGUCACUGCAGGAUAUGCACCUGUGCUAUUACUCGAAAAGCAAACACUCAUCUGUUUGGCACGCACAGAUCUAUGUAAAUUAGGGGAGAUUAUUUUGCUGCUAGUCCUUGGCUGUUUUGUGAUCAAAUGCAAUUGUUUCUCAUUUCUUAAGAAACAGAAUCUCUGUUAGACUCCGUUCUCCCCCCAGUUAUUUUGACCAUUUUAUUCUUUUCUGAGGUUAUUAAUAAUAACACGCCCUAUGAAUUAGGCCUAGAAACAAGGGGUGCCUAUCAAAGAAAGGAUGUCAUCAGAGGCUCCAACUAUGAGCAAUACGUAUGAGUGAUGGUAUACAGACCUGUCAUGAAAAGGUUUAAUUAAUAUCUGCUUAAUAAUUUUCUCUCCUUAAUGCUUCUUUAGCUGCCCCUUGGUGAAGAAUAAAAAAUGGACACCCCCACCCCCCACCCAUCCCUAAGAGAGUCCUGACCCUCAGCUUUCAUUGUUUGGCAGUGGUUUUUGUGGGCAACACUGCAGGGCCCCUCCUGCUGGGAAAACUCUGAGCUUCCUGAUUUUUCACUCCUGUAAAAACCUCCUCCCCCAUCACUACCUUUGUCUCUUUGGGGAAAAAAAAAAAAAGGUUUUCACUUGAGCAAAAUAAAAACUACCCCGUAUUUGUUUCUGGAGUGUAAUUAUAAACUUCAUUGUACAUUCUUCCUGGCUUUGAUGCUUAUCUUGAAGAGUUCAGUGAAAAUAAAUUGUUUUUAUGAAAGCA